rnacentral:rRNA from 1 species
GCGUGAGUGAUGAAGGCCUUAGGGUUGUAAAGCUCUUUCGCCAGGGAAGAUAAUGACGGUACCUGGAAAAGAAGCCUCGGCUAACUCCGUGCCAGCAGCCGCGGUAAGACGGAGGAGGCUAGCGUUGUUCGGAAUUACUGGGCGUAAAGCGUGCGCAGGUUGUGAGAUCAGUUGGAUGUGAAAGCCCGGGGCUUAACCUCGGAUGUGCAUCCAAUACUGUCUCGCUGGAGGUUGGAAGAGGAGAGUGGAAUUCCCAGUGUAGAGGUGAAAUUCGU